GGCUUCGUGGUCGAGUGGUAAGUAUACUUGUCUCUCACUUUGGAGUCCCGUGUUCGAUUCCCGGUCAAGGACCU